GACGAACGCUGGCGGCGUGCCUAAUACAUGCAAGUAGAACGCACAGUUUAUACCGUAGCUUGCUACACCAUAGACUGUGAGUUGCGAACGGGUGAGUAACGCGUAGGUAACCUGCCUGGUAGCGGGGGAUAACUAUUGGAAACGAUAGCUAAUACCGCAUAAUAUUGAUUAUUGCAUGAUAAUUGAUUGAAAGAUGCUAUUGCAUCACUACCAGAUGGACCUGCGUUGUAUUAGCUAGUAGGUGAGGUAACGGCUCACCUAGGCGACGAUACAUAGCCGACCUAGGAGGGUGAUCGGCCACACUGGGACUGAGACACGGCCCAGACUCCUACGGGUGGCAGCAGUAGGGAAUCUUCGGCAAUGGACGAAAGUCUGAACGAGCAACGCCGCGUGAGUGAAGAAGGUUUUCGGAUCGUAAAGCUCUGUUGUAAGAGAAGAACGGGUGUGAGAGUGGAAAGUUCACACUGUGACGGUAUCUUACCAGAAAGGGACGGCUAACUACGUG
rnacentral:rRNA from 1 species